CAUGUCAUCCUUACAACAGUUCAGCAAGAAACAUGUUAUUCGAUCCAUUCACUGAGGAGGAAACUGAAAUCACUCGGAGAGGAGGAGUGAUUCAGCCCCAAAUUCCAAAGUGGUAGAAAUGGACUUGGGCUUCCCUAAUGUCUUAGCUAGUCCCCCAUCUACCUGUCCAUUCCUGGGACAGGUGAGACAGGGGUAUAUGUCAGAGCCAUUAUUCAAGAUCAGAUGACCUGUUAAACUGAGACUUCUGCACCAUCUGAACCAUCAGUCACUCAUCUGAACCAUCAGUCACUCAUCUGAACCAUCAGUCACUCUCUGGCCCAGAGAGGUGGUAUUUGCCAAGGACACACAGCAGGUGGCCAAGAUGGAGCCAAGCCAUUUUCCCCACUGCAGGGCUCAUGGUUUCGACUUUGUUGGUUCUCUAGCAGGACGCGGGUAUCCUCAAGGUCACAGCUCUUUCCUGGCUGUCAGCUCCGAGUCCAGCCUCUCCUCGCAUUGCUGCAGACGCUUUCUGAGGAACUCAUUCUCCAUCUGAGCACAGUCGAAGCGCAUCUGCCACUCGUCUGCUGUUUAACGGAGUCAGGGAGACCAGGAUAAGAGACCAAAUGAGUACCCCUGAUCUCCAUUCCCCUGGACAUCUCAAGGGCACAAAUUCUCUGGACACACGGAGGGAAUAAUGCUGACAUUUUAUAGAAGCUGAGCCACUGGAUAUCCUUCUCACCCAACUCCAUUAGGCUGGGGAGAGUAAGAGGCACGGUGACAAGGUGGCAAAGAUGUCACCGUGCCAUCCAAUCACGAGGUCUCCAGGAAACUGUAUAAGAAGGACACCCCCAGAAACUCCUGGCACUACUGAA
rnacentral:antisense_RNA from 1 species